UUUUGCAAAGAGUCUACUUGAUGUUGCAGAAAAUUUGGAACGAGCUUCUUCAGUUGUCAAAGAAAGUUUUUCAAAGAUUGACACAUCUAAGGAUUCAUCUGGGGCUGCUCCACUUUUAAAAACACUUCUAGAGGGUGUUGAAAUGACAUAAAAACAACUUGUAGAGUGUGGUGGGAAAAAUACAUAUACACUUGGCGAAAUUAAUGAAAUUCGAAAUGAAUAGGCAACCAAGCUUCUUGAGCAGACGAGUCAUAGCUAGAGUAACUUUUGAAAUCAGAAUUAAAAAAUAUAUUAAUUGUAGUUUUAGUUAGCACUUACAUAGUUAUUCCAAGUCUAUAUUUUGAUCUUGCAAUUUUUAGAUUUUGAACAUACUGAGUUAUAUUGAUUUUGUCUGCCUAUUGAUUCUAUUUGAACUAUGUUGUAAUUACACAGGAAAUUAUGAAUGAAUAUAGUAUUGAAAAUAGAGAAAUGAAAAAAUUAUCAUAUUCUA